GUGACGUGAGCUAGUGAGCAUUUUAUUCAGUAAAGGACGAGGUAAAGGAUUAGGAUAUGAUGCCUAGUCUGAGGAUUUACUACAAGUCUGUACUUGGACUGAGAUGCUUACAAUCGAGACCUUUCUCCUCCUCUUCUUCGGUAAAGGAAGAUAAUAGGCAGUUGCUCAAUGCUGGGGCGCGAUACCUCUCUGAGGAGAACAUUGAAAGGACUAGGAAGAACGUGGAGCUUCGUAAACUUGACAUUGAUUUUGAUCACUUGGUAGGCGAGUACCACAAGUACCUUCAACUGCAGGAAAGGAUCAGUGACUUGGAGCAUGAAAA